UACGUAGGGGGGCGAGCGUUGUCCGGAUUUAUUGGGCGUAAAAGGCUUGUAGGUGGCCACGUCAAGUCGGAUGUGAAAUCUCCCGGCUCAACUGGGAGGGGUCAUUCGAUACUGGCGGGCUCGAGGCCGGUAGGGGGAAGCGGAAUUCCCGGUGUAGUGGUGGAAUGCGUAGAUAUCGGGAGGAACACCAGUGGCGAAGGCGGCUUCCUGGACCGGUUCUGACACUGAGG
rnacentral:rRNA from 1 species